rnacentral:tRNA from 1 species
UGUGGCUCAGUGGUAGAGCAUUUGCCUAGCAAGCAUAAGGCACUAGGUUCAACCCCUAGUA